rnacentral:rRNA from 1 species
UGCAGUCGAGCGGAGAUGAGGUGCUUGCACCUUAUCUUAGCGGCGGACGGGUGAGUAAUGCUUAGGAAUCUGCCUAUUAGUGGGGGACAACAUUCCGAAAGGAAUGCUAAUACCGCAUACGUCCUACGGGAGAAAGCAGGGGAUCUUCGGACCUUGCGCUAAUAGAUGAGCCUAAGUCGGAUUAGCUAGUUGGUGGGGUAAAGGCCUACCAAGGCGACGAUCUGUAGGGGGUCUGAGAGGAUGAUCCGCCACACUGGGACUGAGACACGGCCCAGACUCCUACGGGAGGCAGCAGUGGGGAAUAUUGGAUAAUGGGGGGAACCCUGAUCCAGCCAUGCCGCGUGUGUGAAGAAGGCCUUAUGGUUGUAAAGCACUUUAAGCGAGGAGGAGGCUACUGAGACUAAUACUCUUGGAUAGUGGACGUUACUCGCAGAAUAAGCACCGGCUAACUCUGUGCCAGCAGCCGCGGUAAUACAGAGGGUGCGAGCGUUAAUCGGAUUUACUGGGCGUAAAGCGUGCGUAGGCGGCUUUUUAAGUCGGAUGUGAAAUCCCCGAGCUUAACUUGGGAAUUGCAUUCGAUACUGGGAAGCUAGAGUAUGGGAGAGGAUGGUAGAAUUCCAGGUGUAGCGGUGAAAUGCGUAGAGAUCUGGAGGAAUACCGAUGGCGAAGGCAGCCAUCUGGCCUAAUACUGACGCUGAGGUACGAAAGCAUGGGGAGCAAACAGGAUUAGAUACCCUGGUAGUCCAUGCCGUAAACGAUGUCUACUAGCCGUUGGGGCCUUUGAGGCUUUAGUGGCGCAGCUAACGCGAUAAGUAGACCGCCUGGGGAGUACGGUCGCAAGACUAAAACUCAAAUGAAUUGACGGGGGCCCGCACAAGCGGUGGAGCAUGUGGUUUAAUUCGAUGCAACGCGAAGAACCUUACCUGGGCCUUGACAUACUA